rnacentral:rRNA from 1 species
UACGUAGGGUGCAAGCGUUAAUCGGAAUUACUGGGCGUAAAGCGUGCGCAGGCGGUUCUAUAAGACAGAUGUGAAAUCCCCGGGCUCAACCUGGGAACUGCAUUUGUGACUGUAGAGCUGGAGUGCGGCAGAGGGGGAUGGAAUUCCGCGUGUAGCAGUGAAAUGCGUAGAUAUGCGGAGGAACACCGAUGGCGAAGGCAAUCCCCUGGGCCUGCACUGGACGCUCAUGCACGAAAGCGUGGG